CAUGGGCAGGUUGAAGCGUCGGUAAGACGACGUGGAGGACCGAACCCACUUAGGUUGAAAACUGAGGGGAUGAGUUGUGGGUAGGGGUGAAAGGCCAAUCAAACUCCGUGAUAGCUGGUUCUCCCCGAAAUGCAUUUAGGUGCAGCGUCGCAUGUGUGCUUGUUGGAGGUAGAGCUACUGGUUGGUUGAGCGGGACUAUCACUUAGCGACGUCAGCCAAACUC
rnacentral:rRNA from 1 species